UACAGAGAGUGCAAACGUUGUUCGGAAUCACUGGGCGUAAAGCGCACGUAGGCGGAUUGCUAAGUCAGGGGUGAAAUCCUGGAGCUCAACUCCAGAACUGCCUUUGAUACUGGUGAUCUUGAGUCCGGGAGAGGUGAGUGGAACUGCGAGUGUAGAGGUGAAAUUCGUAGAUAUUCGCAAGAACACCAGUGGCGAAGGCGGCUCACUGGCCCGGUACUGACGCUGAGGUGCGAAAGCGUGGGGAGCAAACAGG
rnacentral:rRNA from 1 species